rnacentral:lncRNA from 1 species
UUAAAAUACAAUUUAGAAAAAUUGUGUCACGUAGGACGCCUAGUCAGCAGACUCGACGAACCGGAGCGCACCACGUGGCAAGGGACACUGACACAGUACCACGCAGGAGGCCACACUGGUGAUCUGCGUGCCCGUAAUCGGACAAUCCAGAUUUAUUUCUGUGCGCACGGACGGUCCGGAUCCGUUUACUCCUCAGACGCAAUUGGACGGUCACAAUUAAAUGCAAUGAACAAUUCAAAUCUACUUCUUAUUUAAAUACGAUCGGACGACUCAUAUCAAAUUGCGAUGAAUAGUCCAGAUUUACUUUCUAUUUAAACGUGAUCGGACGGUUUAGAUCAAACGCGAUAAACAGCUCAAAGUAAAAGGAGACAUAUAUAAAUGACUCUCUUCACACCAAACUCUAACCCUAGCCACCAGACCCCCCUUCCCCCCGGGAGAAUAAGACUCAGUCGCUGAGAAGGAAGCCAACUACCGCCGCGACCGCGCCGGAGCCAUUUCCAACCGCCAAAAGAGGUAAAAAAAAUUUCAUUUUCUUGAAAUUUGAUUUUAAACACCUUCAUGGCUAAUCAGAGCAAAAGGAUCGACGGAUUGGCCAAAAAUUGCGGGCAAAACUCGAUGACACUACUGCAGAAAAAGAAAAAAUUGCCUCCAAUGAGGGAUGAUAUCUUUGGUAAUUUGGUGCUCAUACCGGACGGGGUACGGGGACGACCUGUUUCACCCUCAUACCGGAUGGGGUAUUGAGGGAUGGUAUUUUUUGGCACUCAUAUUAGACGGAGUAUGAGAACGACCCGUUAAUUGAAAAUGUUAAAAAAUAGUUCACGCGUAGUGGGAAUAUCUCUAUAGACCCCCAUGAAUACCAGUAGGCUGAUAAAAGGGAAGGUUGUUAUUCCGACUGAUUGUAUAUGAAAUUAUGGUAUGUGUUAUGUUAUUGACUCUAUAGGUUGUUUUUGGAAAUCUUGCUACGGUAAGUAUGCAAUAAAUGAUUUUAUUUAUGACAAACGAAUUUACUUAAAUUAAGAGCUCUACUAGUUGUUUUGAUUAUUUCUACAAACUUUCAUUUUUGUGUCGGUGAGUAGUGUGAUAUUCUUACUGGGCUAGUGUAGUUCAUUCUUUCAUUAAUCAUUUUAGAUCAAAAUGACCAGGAUCCAGAGCCCGAUCCGCAAGAAGGUUGCGAGUAGGAUGCCCAGUUGCUUAUUUUUUGUUUAUUUCUUUAAUUUUUUGUUAUUUUUUUAAAAGGAUUAUUUUUAUAAUUCUAUUAGGUAAUCUGAAUUAUUGUGUAAGGAAUGUAAACCCUAACUAUUUAUUUCAUUUCCGC